AAAAUUUACGACAUCUUUGUCUUUGUGACAUGUGUUCAGAUUAAAACUGGAGAAUCUAAGAGACAAAGAGAUGGGCCAGGAGAUCGAGGAAGAAGAGGAAUUGCACUGCAGGAUUGAGAAAGAUCCGCAAGUCUGUCAGUCCCAUCUUAUUACAAACCGAGCGCUCUUGGAGGAAGAGGAAGUCAUCAUAGAAGAAUAUGACAGUGACUGAUUCAAAUCCCACUGGCACUCAUUUGUUGCAUUUUACUACUGACUCAGGUGGUCGAGAUUACUCUCCAGUGUUGGCCAAGCUUGAAUACUUCGAUAGCCAGAGUUGUACAGAUUCUGUGAUUGCAAAGCAAACUGAAAUUUUAACUACCACUGUGCUGUAAAAUUAGUGAGUUGUUGCUGCUGCACACACUGUGCAUUUUAGUCAGAUUUGGCUACUUUGCGUCCAAAUAACACUUUUAGGCCAUUGUGGAUGAGAUACAACUUUGCAAAAUUGCUCAGCUUCAUUCUGUUCAAGAAGAAAACAACCAAAAGGGCUUUUUCCUUAUGUUCUGUUAUGUGAAGGAUGAUGAUUGGAAAAGGUUGCAAUUUCUUUUUACUGUUGAUGUGAAAAAAAUUUACUGGUCCUUUCAGCCUUUAUAAACAUUUUAUUGUUUUUGUGACAGUAAAAUUAUUUUUAAAAAAUUGCAUAGUUUUAUAUAAACAAAACUGCAAUUGGUAAAUUUUCAUAAUGGGAAAUCUAAGAUUAAUUCUGGUGUAGAAAGAGAUUUUUAAGUUUCAAAAUGUCUUCAGAAAUGGUAUUGACAAGCAAAUAGCCUCUCAACUUUAUAGACGUUGUUUUGUAGUUCUGUUAUUUGCAGUACAGUAACAGGAUGGAAAGUAAUUAUUGUUCUAAAAUUUUUGUUCUCACAAUAUCUAAGUAACAUUCAUGGGUUAAAUUUAUAUUCUGUAUAAAAAGGUCUUGGUAUAUUUAUGUUUUCUGAUUUGGCUUGUAUUCAUCACUUGCACAGGAAUAAGACCAUUUCAGGUGUUUUGAAAUUAUUUUCCAUUGGCAUAAAUGAAGAUGUUUUGUUUGUA